rnacentral:rRNA from 1 species
UUACGGUCAAAUCACACUGAAACACCGGUUCUCGUACGAUCACCGAAGUUAAGCAUCGUAGAGCCAGGUCAGUACUUAGAUGGGGGACCGCUUGGGAACACCUGGUACUGUAAG